AUACGUAGGUGGCAAGCGUUGUCCGGAUUUACUGGGUGUAAAGGGGGCGCAGGCGGGAAGCUAAGUUGGAUGUGAAAUACCGGGGCUCAACUCCGGAGCUGCAUCCAAAACUGGUUUUCUUGAGUGGAGUAGAGGCAAGCGGAAUUCCGAGUGUAGCGGUGAAAUGCGUAGAUAUUCGGAGGAACACCAGUGGCGAAGGCGGCAUGCUGAGCUCUAACGGACGCUGAGGCCCGAAAGCGUGGGGAGCAAACAGGUUUAGAUACCCUGGUAGUCCACGCCGUAAACGAUGAUGACUAGCCGUCGGCGAUAGACAGCCGGUGGCCAAGCGAAAGCGAUAAGUCAUCCACCUGGGGAGUACGUCGGCAACGAUGAAACUCAAAUGAAUUGGCGGGG
rnacentral:rRNA from 1 species